ensembl:lncRNA
CCCUGCUCCAGCUGUUCCACUUUAAGAGACGUUAGGGGACACCACUGCCUAAAGUGCUCAGUUUUGCUUCAGCCUCUGCUUUCCUACCCCCUUCUCUAGUGCAGUGGAUCUGUGCACAUGGCCCUUAACAUUUACUGUCAGAUUUGAGCCCUUUCACUGCCCAUUACUUGGAAACCAUCUAUAGUGGAAAUCCUGAGUCAUGGUCUGAAGCAGUGAUGGAGCACCUGGUGGGAAGGCAGGGCCAAGCCAAGGGAGCUCAGGUGUAUGCAAUGUACCUGAGUGACCAGAAGGUGUGUAGCCAGGUUCCACCCCUUCCCAGACCUCAUUUAAGGGUUGGCAGUGGAAAUAAGAGCAAUUUGUUGGAGAUCCCUGUAUACCUGAGGCCUUCUGAAGGUGUCUCUAAGGCCUGUAGAGAUUUGACAGGAUUCCCAUGAAUGAGAACUUUUGCCCACAGUUCUGUCUCAGAAACUCUGCCUUGCAAAUAAUAGAGCUGGAGGCUUGUGGUCGAAUGACCUCAGCAUCAUUGCGAAAGUUGUUCGCUUGCAUUAUUCUCACAACACGUGAUUCCAUAAGAAACACCGUGCUAUGUCUAGCUACUUUUCAUUAACUCUUUCCUGGGAGGCAAAGCACUGAAAGAAACACACAUAUUUCAUCCUCUGUCUGUGGGUUGUUCCAGGCUUUUGCCCACAUCUCACAUCCUCCAGAGAAGGGUUUCUCAGCCCCAAUUGAGCUACAGGCUUAGAAAGCUCAGAGCGCAGCUGUGCCUUUGGUCAGAGUUGUGCAGGAAAGUAUGCUGCUUUUUCAGUUGCGUUAAAGUAAUUGUUCCUCCACUCUUCCAGGAUGGUGCUGUCCACAAGUAGAACCCAGCACAAACUUCAUGGCAUACUUUUGCCACUCUGUCUCUCCUAACAGUGUAUGAUCUUCUGAGUUCUAUAUCUGUUAGAGCUGUGCAAAGGGAGCAACAAUGUUAAAGAUGCAACAAGUUUUUCUAAAACAAAUUCAUAGGAAAGAAAGAUCUUUUCUUUAAACGUCUCCAUUGAGCUCAUGUGUGCUUCCAUCCCAGAAGCUGAGACAGAGGAGAAGUGGUCCUCUCCUCUCAGCUCUCUCUGUUGCUGGGAGGAAGCAGCCCAGCUCAAGUUUGCUACCAUUGCAGCUCUGGACAACAGAGUGAAUAGCUUGUAAAAUUGCAUUCCUGCAUGUUUGUAAAGCACUUAGCACAGCAAAGGUCUGGCUGUAUAACUGAAGAGCUGAUAUAAAUAUUGCUAGUAAAGAAGAGAUUUCUACUGGAGCUCUGUGUGAAUGAUGAAAUUGACCAUUGCCAUUUCAAAGCAUGUGGAGAACGGGAUGAGAAGUUCUUAGUGAGCUCCAUGCUGCGCUGAGAAAAGCUUGCUUGAAAUUUAAACAAGGAUGAUGGAAGCAAUCCUUUAAGUGCUUGUUCCAGGUUUGAUGCAAAACCUCCUUUCAAUGCAGAAAUUCCCACAGUAAAUCUAUUGGGGUCACCACCCCAGUGAGCCUGACCACAGGACAAGGCAGGCACCCCUGUGCCACCUGCCUGGGGAACAGCACAAUGAAGCUCCCUGAUGCUGUGCAGGGGGGUCUGCACUGCAAUAUAGAUGUAGCCAAAGGGAUGGCAGCUCCUGACUGGGGAGUCCCAGCAGGAAGAAAGCAGAGCCAGUGAGGAAUGGGGAUGCACGGCAACCAACAUCCAUGUGUGGCUCUGAGUAUCUAUGCCAAAUUGGAGGUCAUUAUAUUUCACAGAGUCCUCACCUGUACGUGAUACAGCUCAUUGCUCACCUUCUGGAUGAGGUCCAGGUGUUGCAGAGGACCAGGCUGUGCCCUGCUGGGAGGUGGGUGCUGAGCAGUAGGGGCUCUUGGGAGUACAGAAGCUCUGUGAGCUGCAGGUGCAGCUGUGCUCUGCUCCCAGGCUGGGCACUUGCUGGCUGCCAAACUGCGUGCAGUGAUUAUGCAGUGUGGACAUCUUGUCAGCUGCUGAGAUGGGCCUGCCUGACUCAUUUCCACUUGGAAUCUUGAUGACAGUUUGGUUUGAAUUAGACGUGGGCUAAAGCCAGAACCCUGGAUCUGAACUUCCUCGGAUUUUGGGAAGACUCCAUUCUGGAUCUGAGCUUAGCACAUGGCUCUUGCUUACACAAUGAUCGGAGCCAAACUCUGUAUCAGGGCAUUCCCAGAAUUUAGGGAAGCUCAGAGCUCAUCUUUGAUGCUGAGGUCAUCUCAAGCACAGGUUUCUGGAGAUGAAAUACUACCUAUAGCCUAGCUUGCUCUUCCUUUUCUUGUAAAACUGACAUUGAACAAGUGCAUUCUUUACUCUGCAAUUGCACCUUCUCAGUUCUGGCAAGUAGAAAAGAUCUGUGCGAGUCUGUAUACGUUUCAAUUGGAAAAGCAGCCUCUCAGGAACUUCCAUAUUGCAUGCACAAGAAGCUUUUUGGCUUUUGAGCACAAUUGUAGUGUCAUUCCAGAAGCUCUGGACACACAUUCCUUGCUGCAGACACUGGUGCCUGUCAGCACAGGAGUCGUGGCUGUGGCACCAACACUUACCCCUGCAUGGCUCUUUCUGUGAAAAGGAAAGACUGAAGAGUAACAAAAUUCCAUUUGCAAGCUGCUCCAGUGACACAGUGCUAACCACCAUCCCCAAAAGGUGAGAUCUUGUGAUGUGCUACUGCAGUGUGCCUGCAGGGACCUACUUCUGAAGCCCUCUGCUUCUCAAGCAUGGGCAGGCAAGCUGGAGAAAUCCCAGAGAAGCAUCCCUGUCCGGGAAAAGCUGAGCUGCCUGCUGCUGUGCUGAGAAAACCCAGCUCCAACAGAAGGCUUUGUCAACACAGCGCCGUAUCAUUCGCUCGAGGUGUACACACUUCACUUGACACCUCUGCCUUGUCCUACAGAUGUUCCACUGUGUUUCGGAUGGAGCCUCUAACAGUACAGCUGUUUGAACACAUGUGCAUUUUCCACUCAACAAACCACAAGAAUAUGGCAGCAGGGUUACAACGUCUGACUCCUAGGGCGAGAAUGAGAGAAGCUGAAGAGGUGUUUCUUUGGGAAAUCUCUGUAUUUUCUCCUGUAGUUUCUCUCUUUCUCGUUUUAUUCACCGACUGUGCUACGCUCAGACCAUGGGGAAGGUGAAGCCUGAUUGAUAUUGCAAGUGACAACUGUGGCCUCGAAACCAUUUCCUCAGUUCAUCUUCAGGAGGCGUUAAGCCCACAGCGUUUUGCCUGUUCCACAGGAGCAGAGUCCUUCUGACUUUUAUUCACAAAAAUCCACUUUAUUCCAAUUCCUGCUAAUCUGCUGUUGCUUGUGAAUAAAUUAGAGCCUGCCCCGAUAAAGAGGCUUAAAGAGGAAUGAUCAGAUGUGCUCAGAAGAAAAGGAUUUCAUGCACAGGAGAAAUAAGACAGGAAUUAUUUUUCUUGUUAGCCUUUUUGUAAGAAGACAGACAACCCUUUCAGCCCAAAUACAAUAUUGUAAUUGCUCAUAUUCAACUGACAGAGGUUCCCAGAUGAGCUCC